rnacentral:rRNA from 1 species
GAUGAACGCUGGCGGCGUGCCUAAUACAUGCAAGUCGAGCGAACAGACAAGGAGCUUGCUCCUUUGACGUUAGCGGCGGACGGGUGAGUAACACGUGGGUAACCUACCUAUAAGACUGGGAUAACUUCGGGAAACCGGAGCUAAUACCGGAUAAUAUUUCGAACCGCAUGGUUCGAUAGUGAAAGAUGGUUUUGCUAUCACUUAUAGAUGGACCCGCGCCGUAUUAGCUAGUUGGUAAGGUAACGGCUUACCAAGGCGACGAUACGUAGCCGACCUGAGAGGGUGAUCGGCCACACUGGAACUGAGACACGGUCCAGACUCCUACGGGAGGCAGCAGUAGGGAAUCUUCCGCAAUGGGCGAAAGCCUGACGGAGCAACGCCGCGUGAGUGAUGAAGGUCUUCGGAUCGUAAAACUCUGUUAUUAGGGAAGAACAUACGUGUAAGUAACUAUGCACGUCUUGACGGUACCUAAUCAGAAAGCCACGGCUAACUACGUGCCAGCAGCCGCGGUAAUACGUAGGUGGCAAGCGUUAUCCGGAAUUAUUGGGCGCAAAGCGCGCGUAGGCGGUUUUUUAAGUCUGAUGUGAAAGCCCACGGCUCAACCGUGGAGGGUCAUUGGAAACUGGAAAACUUGAGUGCAGAAGAGGAAAGUGGAAUUCCAUGUGUAGCGGUGAAAUGCGCAGAGAUAUGGAGGAACACCAGUGGCGAAGGCGACUUUCUGGUCUGUAACUGACGCUGAUGUGCGAAAGCGUGGGGAUCAAACAGGAUUAGAUACCCUGGUAGUCCACGCCGUAAACGAUGAGUGCUAAGUGUUAGGGGGUUUCCGCCCCUUAGUGCUGCAGCUAACGCAUUAAGCACUCCGCCUGGGGAGUACGACCGCAAGGUUGAAACUCAAAGGAAUUGACGGGGACCCGCACAAGCGGUGGAGCAUGUGGUUUAAUUCGAAGCAACGCGAAGAACCUUACCAAAUCUUGACAUCCUUUGACAACUCUAGAGAUAGAGCCUUCCCCUUCGGGGGACAAAGUGACAGGUGGUGCAUGGUUGUCGUCAGCUCGUGUCGUGAGAUGUUGGGUUAAGUCCCGCAACGAGCGCAACCCUUAAGCUUAGUUGCCAUCAUUAAGUUGGGCACUCUAAGUUGACUGCCGGUGACAAACCGGAGGAAGGUGGGGAUGACGUCAAAUCAUCAUGCCCCUUAUGAUUUGGGCUACACACGUGCUACAAUGGACAAUACAAAGGGCAGCGAAACCGCGAGGUCAAGCAAAUCCCAUAAAGUUGUUCUCAGUUCGGAUUGUAGUCUGCAACUCGACUACAUGAAGCUGGAAUCGCUAGUAAUCGUAGAUCAGCAUGCUACGGUGAAUAAGGUCCCGGGUCU